CACGUAGGGGCCAAGCGUUGUCCGGAUUUAUUGGGCGUAAAGAGCUCGUAGGCGGUUCGACAAGUCGGGUGUGAAAACUCCGGGCUCAACCCGGAGACGCCACCCGAUACUGUCGUGACUGGAGUCCGGUAGGGGAGUGGGGAAUUCCUGGUGUAGCGGUGAAAUGCGCAGAUAUCAGGAGGUACACCGGUGGCGAAGGCGCCACUCUGGGCCGGUACUGACGCUGAGGAGCGAAAGCGUGGGUAGCAAACAGG
rnacentral:rRNA from 1 species